rnacentral:rRNA from 1 species
AUUGAACGCUAGCGGGAUGCCUUACACAUGCAAGUCGAACGGCAGCGCGGACUUCGGUCUGGCGGCGAGUGGCGAACGGGUGAGUAAUGUAUCGGAACGUGCCCAGUAGCGGGGGACAACCACUCGAAAGAGUGGCUAAUACCGCAUACGCCCUACGGGGAAAGGGGGGAGUCGCAAGACCUCUCACUAUUGGAGCGGCCGAUAUCGGAUUAGCUAGUUGGUGGGGUAAAGGCCUACCAAGGCGACGAUCCGUAGCUGGUUUGAGAGGACGACCAGCCACACUGGGACUGAGACACGGCCCAGACUCCUACGGGAGGCAGCAGUGGGGAAUUUUGGACAAUGGGGGAAACCCUGAUCCAGCCAUUCCGCGUGUGCGAUGAAGGCCUCGGGUUGUAAGCACUUUUGGUAGG